rnacentral:rRNA from 1 species
UACGUAGGGUGCAGGCGUUAAUCGGAAUUACUGGGCGUAAAGCGUGCGCAGGCGGUCUUUUAAGUCAGAUGUGAAAUCCCCGGGCUUAACCUGGGAACUGCGUUUGAAACUGGAAGGCUAGAGUGUGGCAGAGGGGGGUGGAAUUCCACGUGUAGCAGUGAAAUGCGUAGAGAUGUGGAGGAAUACCGAUGGCGAAGGCAGCCCCCUGGGAUAACACUGACGCUCAUGCACGAAAGCGUGGGGAGCAAACAGG